rnacentral:rRNA from 1 species
CCUACGGGAGGCAGCAGUGGGGAAUAUUGGGCAAUGGGCGCAAGCCUGACCCAGCAACGCCGCGUGAAGGAAGAAGGUUUUCGGGUUGUAAACUUCUUUUCUGAGGGACGAAGAAAAUGACGGUACCUCAGUAAUAAGCCACGGCUAACUACGUGCCAGCAGCCGCGGUAAUACGUAGGUGGCAAGCGUUAUCCGGAUUGACUGGGGGUAAAGGGCGUGUAGGGGGUAUAGUAAGUUGGCUGUGAAAUCCCAGGGCUCAACCCUGGGCCUGCAGUUGAAACUGUUAGUCUUGAGUGCUGGAGGGGGAAGCGGAAUUCCGGGUGUAGCGGUGAAAUGCGUAGAUAUACGGAGGAACACCAGGGGCGAAGGCGGAUUACUGGACAGUAACUGACGCUGAGGCGCGAAAGCGUGGGGAGCAAACAGGAUUAGAUACCCGAGUAGUC